UAUAGAUGGAUCCGCGCUGCAUUAGCUAGUUGGUAAGGUAACGGCUUACCAAGGCAACGAUGCAUAGCCGACCUGAGAGGGUGAUCGGCCACACUGGAACUGAGACACGGUCCAGACUCCUACGGGAGGCAGCAGUAGGGAAUCUUCCGCAAUGGGCGAAAGCCUGACGGAGCAACGCCGCGUGAGUGAUGAAGGUCUUCGGAUCGUAAAACUCUGUUAUUAGGGAAGAACAUAUGUGUAAGUAACUGUGCACAUCUUGACGGUACCUAAUCAGAAAGCCACGGCUAACUACGUGCCAGCAGCCGCGGUAAUACGUAGGUGGCAAGCGUUAUCCGGAAUUAUUGGGCGUAAAGCGCGCGUAGGCGGUUUUUUAAGUCUGAUGUGAAAGCCCACGGCUCAACCGUGGAGGGUCAUUGGAAACUGGAAAACUUGAGUGCAGAAGAGGAAAGUGGAAUUCCAUGUGUAGCGGUGAAAUGCGCAGAGAUAUGGAGGAACACCAGUGGCGAAGGCGACUUUCUGGUCUGUAACUGACGCUGAUGUGCGAAAGCGUGGGGAUCAAACAGGAUUAGAUACCCUGGUA
rnacentral:rRNA from 1 species